rnacentral:rRNA from 1 species
CAGCCGCCGCGGUAAUACGAGGGUGGCAAGCGUUGUUCGGAAUUAUUGGGCGUAAAGGGUGCGUAGGCGGUUUGGCAAGUCUUAUGUGAAAUCUUCAGGCUCAACCUGAAGUCUGCAUGAGAAACUGCCGGGCUUGAGUAUUGGAGAGGUGAGUGGAAUUUCCGGUGUAGCGGUGAAAUGCGUAGAUAUCGGAAGGAACACCUGUGGCGAAAGCGGCUCACUGGACAAUAACUGACGCUGAGGCACGAAAGCUAGGGGAGCAAACAGGAUUAGAUACCCCCGUAGUCCCUGUCUCUUAUAA